GCCUGGGUGGCUCGGUUGGUUAAGCAUCUGACUUUGGCUCAGGUCAUGAUCUCACAGUCCGUGGGUUCGAGCCCCGCAUCAGGCU
rnacentral:tRNA from 1 species